rnacentral:siRNA from 1 species
CAGACAAAAUGGCUGGCAGGUGGA